rnacentral:snRNA from 1 species
GAUGUUGGCGACAUGACCACAUA